UUUUGGCGCGAACUCGUGGAGGCCUAUGUCGAGCACUGGACUGUAUUAGGCUGAAGUGAUGAAGUAAUUUUGUUUUCCUAUAGUGAGUAAGGUGACCACUACUUGGGAGGGUCGGGGGGUGGGAUCGGCGACGCGCUUUUAAUGCUUCUGGUAUUGCAUGCGUCCUCAGUUACAGCAAUCACCUAUCAUCAGAUGAGAAAUACACUUGUUUGCCGACCUAGUUGUAUUAAAAAAUAUAUGUAUACUUAAAUAACCUUUCAAAAUAAACAUAAUGUGUAAGUUAAAUUAGUUUGAUGUUAUAUAGUAUGUCUCAUUUUUUUUUUGUGUACCUUACUAUACACAUUAGCAAGUUCCUAUUUCUAAUACAUCACCAGUAACGCAUACAUCAUUUUUUAGAACUUGACUGGUUCGACAAUUUGUCAUCUAAGAACUUUACUUCGUACUGGGGUGACGAUGAAUUUGUUUUUUUAAAGGACAACGUAUUAAAAAAAAUUAAAAAACAAAUAAAAAUCUUUUAAUGUCAAGCAACAUUGGCUCAUAGUUGGUUAGUGCAAUAUAAUUACUUAAGAACUAUGUUAGUACAACAAAAUACAAACAAAAAAUAAAAAUGAAUAAAUAGAAAUAAAUAAAUAGCUACCACGCGGGGAGAUUGAUCCAGUCACAUUUUGUACAUGCAACUUGAUAAACCUCCCCAUGGUCGGCCCAUCCAGUCUUUCCGCAAAUAACUUCAGGAUGCUGUUGGUGCUUACCCCCACCCUUCGUAUUAUUGACGCCACCUUCUUACGCAUUAUCGCGAAAUAAUUGUUAGUGUGAGCAUCUGCAAACGUGCCUGACGCACUGCAGUAAUAUGGUAGCCUCGACAUCGCCCUGAAGGCAUUAUUGUAUUGUACUCGCAGGACAUGUGCCGCUCUUCGGGUACAGCUAGCCCAAAGGCUGCUGGUGUAGAAUGUUUGGCAGUAAGCCUUAAAUAGUGUAAUUUUAACAGGUACAGAACAACCAGCAAACCUUCAGGCCAGCGUAUUGGCCUUUCAAUUUUAAAUUCCCGCUUUGAGUCUGUUUAAAAAAUAUGUAUGUCAGUAUGCUGUUAUUUACAACGCAAUCAUUAAGUUGCCUGCCUUAAUGACGGUCUGUACACCCACACCCACACCCAAAGAUGAAAAUUGAUACACAACCCUUGAAACAAAAACAAGGCUGACACAAUUUUAGUUACUAUACGAAACAAAUUUUUUAAAAAUUACAAGAAGAUAAAUAUUGGUGUAAAACUCACUGAAAUAUUUCAGUCAAAGCAUUUUCAAUUACAAUUUCCAAUCUAUUUAUUGGUUAACGUUGUAUUUUUCGUUUUUUAACCGCUUUAAAAUUUUCCGAUACUUUUUAAGAG
rnacentral:misc_RNA from 1 species